rnacentral:rRNA from 1 species
AGAGUUUGAUCCUGGCUCAGGAUGAACGCUGGCGACGUGGAUAAGGCAUGCAAGUCGAACGGCUAUAGCAAUAUAGCAGUGGCGAAUGGGUUAGUAACACGUAGAUACAAACCUUUUACUCAGGCAUAACCCGGAGAAAUCCAGGCUAAUUCCUGAUAGUCCCGCAAGGGUAAAGAUUUAUCGGUAAAAGAUUGGUCUGCGUCCUAUCAGCUAGUUGGUGAGGUAAUGGCUCACCAAGGCGAUGACGGGUAGGCGGAGUGAGAGCUUGGCCGCCAACAAUGGCACUGAGACACGGGCCAUACUCCUACGGGAGGCAGCAGUCGAGAAUAUUCGACAAUGGGCGCAAGCCUGAUCGAGCGACGUCGCGUGUGGGAUUAAGAUCUUCGGAUUGUAAACCACUUUUCUGGGGGAAGAAUUUUGACGGUACCUCAGGAAUAAGGGGCGACUAAACUCGUGCCAGCAGCCGCGGUAAUA